UUUUACUCAGGAGCACCCAAAUAUCAUGGAAAACUUGAAAUGAUUGAUUUUACCAUAGAAUACUGAACACGCACGUACUUAAAGUGUUUAUAAAUGAAACCAAGCAAUUUAUAUUAAUUGUUUUGUUUUAAUAAGUAAAAACAACUGCGGAGCGAAACAAAGCACAACCGAUCGAUUCUUCUUUUUGAUAGAUCAACAGAUAAACAACUAGCGGAUAUGCUAACAAAACCGAUACCAGCGCCACGGUUUUGUGAAUUGCGAAACCAAAUGAGUUUGAUGGAUUAAUCAAAUGUAGGAGAAAAGGAUCUCAUGGAUAUGGACUGAACCAAAAUAAUUU